UACGUAGGGCGCAAGCGUUGUCCGGAAUUAUUGGGCGUAAAGAGCUCGUAGGCGGUUUGUCACGUCGGAUGUGAAAGCCCGGGGCUUAACCCCGGGUCUGCAUUCGAUACGGGCAGACUAGAGUGUGGUAGGGGAGAUCGGAAUUCCUGGUGUAGCGGUGAAAUGCGCAGAUAUCAGGAGGAACACCGGUGGCGAAGGCGGGAUCUCUGGGC
rnacentral:rRNA from 1 species